CCUACGGGAGGCAGCAGUGAGGAAUAUUGGUCAAUGGGCGCGAGCCUGAACCAGCCAAGUAGCGUGAAGGAUGACUGCCCUAUGGGUUGUAAACUUCUUUUAUAUGGGAAUAAAGUGAAGUAUGUAUACUGCUUUGCAUGUACCUUAUGAAUAAGGAUCGGCUAACUCCGUGCCAGCAGCCGCGGUAAUACGGAGGAUCCGAGCGUUAUCCGGAUUUAUUGGGUUUAAAGGGAGCGUAGGCGGGUUGUUAAGUCAGUUGUGAAAGUUUGCGGCUCAACCGUAAAAUUGCAGUUGAUACUGGCAGCCUUGAGUACAGUAGAGGUAGGCGGAAUUCGUGGUGUAGCGGUGAAAUGCUUAGAUAUCACGAAGAACUCCGAUUGCGAAGGCAGCCUGCUGGACUGUAACUGACGCUGAUGCUCGAAAGUGUGGGUAUCAAACAGGAUUAGAUACCCUUGUAGUC
rnacentral:rRNA from 1 species